rnacentral:rRNA from 1 species
CAGUCGCCGCGGGAAUACGAAGGGUGCAAGCGUUAAUCGGAAUUACUGGGCGUAAAGCGUGCGUAGGCGGUUUGUUAAGUCUGCUGUGAAAUCCCCGGGCUCAACCUGGGAAUGGCAGUGGAUACUGGCAAGCUAGAGUGUGUCAGAGGAUGGUGGAAUUCCCGGUGUAGCGGUGAAAUGCGUAGAGAUCGGGAGGAACAUCAGUGGCGAAGGCGGCCAUCUGGGACAACACUGACGCUGAGGCACGAAAGCGUGGGGAGCAAACAGGAUUAGAUACCCGGGUAGUCCUGUCUCUUAUACA